AUUGAACGCUGGCGGCAUGCUUUACACAUGCAAGUCGAACGGUAACAGGUCUUCGGAUGCUGACGAGUGGCGAACGGGUGAGUAAUACAUCGGAACGUGCCUAGUAGUGGGGGAUAACUACUCGAAAGAGUAGCUAAUACCGCAUGAGAUCUACGGAUGAAAGCAGGGGACCUUCGGGCCUUGUGCUACUAGAGCGGCUGAUGGCAGAUUAGGUAGUGGGUGGGGUAAAGGCUUACCAAGCCUGCGAUCUGUAACUGGUCUGAGAGGACGACCAGCCACACUGGGACUGAGACACGGCCCAGACUCCUACGGGAGGCAGCAGUGGGGAAUUUUGGACAAUGGGCGAAAGCCUGAUCCAGCAAUGCCGCGUGCAGGAUGAAGGCCCUCGGGUUGUAAACUGCUUUUGUACGGAACGAAAAGCCUGGGGCUAAUAUCCCCGGGUCAUGACGGUACCGUAAGAAUAAGCACCGGCUAACUACGUGCCAGCAGCCGCAGUAAGAC
rnacentral:rRNA from 1 species